rnacentral:tRNA from 2 species
GAGAGGUCUUGUGGGGCCUUAGCUCAGCUGGGAGAGCGCCUGCUUUGCACGCAGGAGGUCAGCGGUUCGAUCCCGCUAGGCUCCAUUAGGAUAGAGAUAUCCUAAAAACUGUCCAUUGAAAAUUGAAUAUCUAUAUCAAAUUCCACGAUCAAGAAAUUGAUUGUACGAAUAGUAACAAGAAAAUAAACCGAAAACGCUGUGAAUAAUCAAGAGUUUUUCUAGUUAAG